rnacentral:rRNA from 1 species
CCCUUAGAUGUUCGGGGCCGCACGCGCGCUACACUGAAGGAAUCAGCAUGUCUUUCUCCUUGUCCGAAAGGACUGGGUAACCCGCUGAACCUCCUUCGUGCUAGGGAUUGGGGCUUGUAAUUCUUCCCCAUGAACGAGGAAUUCCCAGUAAGCGCGAGUCAUAAGCUCGCGUUGAUUACGUCCCUGCCCUUUGUACACACCGCCCGUCGCUACUACCGAUUGGAUGGUUUAGUGAGAUCCUCGGAUUGGUCCCGGAGCGGCCUCUGGUCGUGCCGGAGUGCCGAAAAGAAUGUCGAACUUGAUCAUCUAGAGGAAGUAAAAGUCGUAACA